rnacentral:rRNA from 1 species
GAUGAACGCUAGCGGCAGGCCUAACACAUGCAAGUCGAGGGAGAAGCCUUUCGGGGCAGAAACCGGCGCACGGGUGCGUAACGCGUAUGCAACCUACCUUUCACAGGGGGAUAGCCCGAAGAAAUUUGGAUUAAUACCCCAUAAUAUUGUUGGAUGGCAUCAUCUGGCAAUUAAAACUGCGGUGGUGAAAGAUGGGCAUGCGUCCUAUUAGCUAGUUGGAGUGGUAACGGCACCCCAAGGCUACGAUAGGUAGGGGUCCUGAGAGGGAGAUCCCCCACACUGGUACUGAGACAGGGACCAGACUCCUACGGGAGGCAGCAGUGAGGAAUAUUGGUCAAUGGUCGGAAGACUGAACCAGCCAUGCCGCGUGCAGGAAGAAUGCCUUAUGGGUUGUAAACUGCUUUUAUAUGGGAAGAAUAAGGUGUACGUGUACAUUGAUGACGUACCAUAUGAAUAA